GGACGAACGCUGGCGGCGUGCUUACCACAUGCAAGUCGAACGGAAAGGCCCUGCUUGCCGGGUACUCGAGUGGCGAACGGGUGAGUAACACGUGGGUGAUCUGCCCUGCACUUCGGGAUAAGCCUGGGAAACUGGGUCUAAUACCGGAUAGGAGCCAUUUUUAGUGUGAUGGUUGGAAAGUUUUUUCGGUGUAGGAUGAGCUCGCGGCCUAUCAGCUUGUUGGUGGGGUAAUGGCCUACCAAGGCGGCGACGGGUAGCCGGCCUGAGAGGGUGGACGGCCACAUUGGGACUGAGAUACGGCCCAGACGCCUACGGGAGGCAGCAGGGGGGAAUAUUGCACAAUGGGCGCAAGCCGGAUGCAGCGACGCCGCGUGGGGGAUGACGGCCUUCGGGUUGUAAACUCCUUUCGCUAGGGACGAAGCUUUUUGUGACGGUACCUAGAUAAGAAGCACCGGCUAACUACGUG
rnacentral:rRNA from 1 species